UACAGAGGUCUCAAGCGUUGUUCGGAUUCAUUGGGCGUAAAGGGGUGUGUAGGUGGCGCCGUAAGUCGGGUGUGAAAUUUCGGAGCUUAACUCCGAAACUGCAUUCGAUACUGCGGUGCUUGAGGACUGGAGAGGAGACUGGAAUUCAUGGUGUAGCAGUGAAAUGCGUAGAGAUCAUGAGGAAGACCAGUGGCGAAGGCGGGUCUCUGGACAGUUCCUGACGCUGAGGCACGAAGGCCAGGGGAGCAAACGGG
rnacentral:rRNA from 1 species